GUUUCUUCUUCUUCUUCUCUUUU
rnacentral:sRNA from 1 species